GACGAACGCUGGCGGCGUGCUUAACACAUGCAAGUCGAACGGAGACUUUUUCAGUGCAACUUUCGGGGAGCAGGAGAAAGUCUUAGUGGCGGACGGGUGAGUAACGCGUGGGCAACCUGCCUCGCACCGUGGGAUAACAGGGGGAAGCUCCUGCUAAUACCGUAUAAAGUAUAUAGACGCAUGUCAAUAUACAAAAAGGGAUACCGGUGAGAGAUGGGCCCGCGUCCGAUUAGAUAGUUGGCAGGAUAGCAGCCUACCAAGUCAACGAUCGGUAGCCGGCUUGAGAGAGUGGACGGCCACACUGGGACUGAGACACGGCCCAGACUCCUACGGGAGGCAGCAGUGGGGAAUAUUGGACAAUGGGGGCAACCCUGAUCCAGCGACGCCGCGUGAGUGAAGAAGUAUCUCGGUACGUAAAGCUCUAUCAGCAGGGAAGAAAAAAAGACGGUACCUGA
rnacentral:rRNA from 1 species